rnacentral:rRNA from 1 species
AACGGUAACAUUGGUGCUUGCACCAGAUGACGAGUGGCGCACGGGUGCGUAACGCGUAUGCAACCUACCUUUUACUAGAGUAUAGCCCAGAGAAAUUUGGAUUAAUCCUCUAUAAUAUCUUUUAAUCUCCUGAUUUUAAGAUUAAAGUUUUAACGGUAAAAGAUGGGCAUGCGUCCUAUUAGUUUGUAGGUGAGUGUAACGGCUCGCCUAGACUACGAUAGGUAGGGGCCCUGAGAGGGGGAUCCCCCACACUGGUACUGAGACACGGACCAGACUCCUACGGGAGGCAGCAGUAAGGAAUAUUGGACAAUGGACGAAAGUCUGAUCCAGCCAUGCCGCGUGCAGGAUGACAGCCCUACGGGUUGUAAACUGCUUUUAUACAGGAAGAAACACUCCGACGUGUCGGAGCUUGACGGUACUGUAAGAAUAAGGAUCGGUAACUCCGUGCCAGCAGCCGCGGUAAUACGGAGGAUCCAAGCGUUAUCCGGAAUCAUUGGGUUUAAACGGGUCCGCAGGCUGUCUUUUAAGUCAGAGGUGAAAUCCUGCAGCUCAACUUGUAGAAACUGCCUUUGAUACUGGAAAACUUGAGGUUAUUGUGAAGUGGUUAGAAUGUGUGGUGUAAGCGGUGAAAUGCAUAGAUAUCACACAGAAUAACGA